rnacentral:rRNA from 1 species
AAUAGAUACCCGGUAGUCCACGCCGUAAACGAUGAGUGCUAAGUGUUAGGGGUUUCCGCCCCUUAGUGCUGCAGCUAACGCAUUAAGCACUCCGCCUGGGGAGUACGGCCGCAAGGCUGAAACUCAAAGGAAUUGACGGGGGCCCGCACAAGCGGUGGAGCAUGUGGUUUAAUUCGAAGCAACGCGAAGAACCUUACCAGGUCUUGACAUCCUCUGACAACCCUAGAGAUAGGGCGUUCCCCUUCGGGGGACAGAGUGACAGGUGGUGCAUGGUUGUCGUCAGCUCGUGUCGUGAGAUGUUGGGUUAAGUCCCGCAACGAGCGCAACCCUUGAUCUUAGUUGCCAGCAUUCAGUUGGGCACUCUAAGGUGACUGCCGGUGACAAACCGGAGGAAGGUGGGGAUGACGUCAAAUCAUCAUGCCCCUUAUGACCUGGGCUACACACGUGCUACAAUGGAUGGUACAAAGGGCUGCCAAACCGCGAGGUUGAGCGAAUCCCAUAAAACCAUUCUCAGUUCGGAUUGCAGG